GGGGAACUGAAACAUCUAAGUACCCGGAGGAAGAGAAAGAAAAAUCGAUUUCCUAAGUAGCGGCGAGCGAACGGGAAAGAGCCCAAACCAGAAACUUGUUUCUGGGGUUGUGGAUAGAUCAUAAAAGAAGAGGUAUCUUAAUCGAAGAGGGCUGGAACGCCCUACCAUAGAAGGUAAUAGUCCUGUAGAUAAAAAGAGAAAACUUCGAGAUCUAAUCCAGAGUACCACGAGACACGUGAAACCUUGUGGGAAGCAGGGAGGACCACCUCCCAAGGCUAAAUACUACCUAGUGACCGAUAGUGAAGCAGUACCGUGAGGGAAAGGUGAAAAGAACCCCGGAAGGGGAGUGAAAUAGAACCUGAAACCGUGUGCCUACAACCGAUCGGAGCACGUUAAAGUGUGACGAUGUGCUUUUUGUAGAACGAGCCAGCGAGUUACGCUAUGUAGCAAGGUUAAGUACUUAAGGUAUGGAGCCGAAGGGA
rnacentral:rRNA from 1 species